rnacentral:lncRNA from 1 species
UAUUUGCUUGGGUUUUGUUGUUGUUGUUGCUGCUGUUUUUGUUUUGUUUGUUUUAGCUGUCCUGGAACUCACUCUGUAGACCAGGCUGGCCUCGAACUCACAAAGACCCUCCUGCCUCCUGAGUGCUGGGAUUAAAGGCGUGCCCCACCACUACUGCCUCCACCACUGCCUGGCUUCAGCUUCCUUUCUUAGCCCGGAACACCUGCCCAGAGGUGGCCCCACCCACACCAGGAGGGGCCCUCCUGCAUUAAUCGAAAAAAUGCUUCAAAGACUUGCCAGCAGGCGCGGCAAGAAUUGACCCCAGGAGGAAGCUUUG